AACGAACGCUGGCGACGCGCCUAAUACAUGCAAGUCGAACGAGAAGGUGUAGCAAUACACUUGUACAGUGGCGAACGGGUGAGGAAUGCAUGGGCAACCUACCCUCGAGUGGGGAAUAACCAGCCGAAAGGUUGGCUAAUACCGCGUACGCUUCCGGGUCUCCGGAUCCGGAAGGAAAGUCACACCGUGGGUGUGACGCUCAAGGAUGGGCUCAUGUCCUAUCAGCUUGUGGUGAGGUAACGGCUCACCAAGGCAACGACGGGUAGCUGGUCUGAGAGGACGAUCAGCCACACUGGCACUGCGACACGGGCCAGACUCCUACGGGAGGCAGCAGUAAGGAAUAUUGCGCAAUGGGCGAAAGCCUGACGCAGCGACGCCGCGUGUGCGAUGAAGGCCUUUUGGGUCGUAAAGCACUGUCGAUCGGGACGAAAACUCACGAGCUAAUACCUCGUGAGCUUGACGGUA
rnacentral:rRNA from 1 species